rnacentral:rRNA from 1 species
AGUGGGGAAUAUUGGACAAUGGGGGCAACCCUGAUCCAGCAAUGCCGCGUGAGUGAUGAAGGCCUUAGGGUUGUAAAGCUCUUUUGCCAGGGACGAUGAUGACGGUACCUGGAGAAUAAGCCCCGGCUAACUUCGUGCCAGCAGCCGCGGUAAUACGAAGGGGGCGAGCGUUGUUCGGAAUUACUGGGCGUAAAGGGCGCGUAGGCGGUUUGACAAGUCAGGCGUGAAAUUCCCGGGCUCAACCUGGGGGCUGCGCUUGAUACUGUUGAGCUUGAAUGCAGGAGAGGAUGGUGGAAUUCCCAGUGUAGAGGUGAAAUUCGUAGAUAUUGGGAAGAACACCGGUGGCGAAGGCGGCCAUCUGGCCUGUGAUUGACGCUGAGGCGCGAAAGCGUGGGGAGCAAA